rnacentral:rRNA from 1 species
GAUGAACGCUGGCGGCGUGCCUAAUACAUGCAAGUCGAGCGAACGGACGAGAAGCUUGCUCCUCUGAUGUUAGCGGCGGACGGGUGAGUAACACGUGGAUAACCUACCUAUAAGACUGGGAUAACUUCGGGAAACCGGAGCUAAUACCGGAUAAUAUUUUGAACCGCAUGGUUCAAAAGUGAAAGACGGUCUUGCUGUCACUUAUAGAUGGAUCCGCGCUGCAUUAGCUAGUUGGUAAGGUAACGGCUUACCAAGGCAACGAUGCGUAGCCGACCUGAGAGGGUGAUCGGCCACACUGGAACUGAGACACGGUCCAGACUCCUACGGGAGGCAGCAGUAGGGAAUCUUCCGCAAUGGGCGAAAGCCUGACGGAGCAACGCCGCGUGAGUGAAGAAGGUCUUCGGAUCGUAAAACUCUGUUAUUAGGGAAGAACAUAUGUGUAAGUAACUGUGCACAUCUUGACGGUACCUAAUCAGAAAGCCACGGCUAACUACGUG